UUCAAUAAUUAAAAUAGAAUUUCUAGUAUUUUUAAACUAGAAUAUUCUUAUUUCUAAUUCUAUCCGUGCAUGAUAACUUAAAAUCCAUGCAAUUUAUAUGCAUGAAAUUAGUAAUAUAUAGUAAUUUAUUCAUCGUGAAGUCGUAUGUUGUCCAGACAAGCAAUAAAAGCAAUAUUAGCAAGACAAAGGAAUGGUUAUUGAACGUGCAAGGGAAAAGCAGACAAAAGGUGAGGUAUUAAACGAGCGUUGUACACGCGUUGUUGGCAAAACGUUUCCUUUGUCUUUAAUUAAUUUCCGGUACAAGUGGAGGAAGCAUCGUGACUUCGAUUUUAUCUUAUUUACAUUAAAAAAAAAAAAAAAAAAA